AUUGAACGCUGGCGGCAGGCUUAACACAUGCAAGUCGAGCGGGGGAAGGUAGCUUGCUACUGGACCUAGCGGCGGACGGGUGAGUAAUGCUUAGGAAUCUGCCUAUUAGUGGGGGACAACAUCUCGAAAGGGAUGCUAAUACCGCGUACGUCCUACGGGAGAAAGCAGGGGAUCUUCGGACCUUGCGCUAAUAGAUGAGCCUAAGUCGGAUUAGCUAGUUGGUGGGGUAAAGGCCUACCAAGGCGACGAUCUGUAGCGGGUCUGAGAGGAUGAUCCGCCAGACUGGGACUGAGACACGGCCCAGACUCCUACGGGAGGCAGCAGUGGAGAAUAUUGGACAAUGGGGGGAACCCUGAUCCAGCCAUGCCGCGUGUGUGAAGAAGGCCUUAUGGUUGUAAAGCACUUUAAGCGAGGAGGAGGCUACUCUAGUUAAUACCUAGGGAUAGUGGACGUUACUCGCAGAAUAAGCACCGGCUAACUCUGUGCCAGCCGCCGCCGUAA
rnacentral:rRNA from 1 species